UUCGCAAUGCCCGAAAGGGUGACGAUGCGACGCCGCGUGAGCGAAGAAGGCCCUAGGGUUGUAAAGCUCUGUCGAGGGUUAUGAAAUAUAAGUGUGUUAAUACCGCAUUUAUUUGACGAAGGCUCCAAAGGAAGCCACGGCUAACUCUGUGCCAGCAGCCGCGGUAAUACAGAGGUGGCAAGCGUUGUUCGGAAUUAUUGGGCGUAAAGAGCACGUAGGUGGGUUUGUAAGUCAGAUGUGAAAGCCUUCUGUUCAACGGGAGAAUUGCAUCUGAAACUGCAAGUCUUGAGUAUAGGAGGGGAGAAUGGAACUUCUGGUGGAGCGGUGAAAUGCGUAGAUAUCAGAAGGAACGCCGGCGGCGAAAGCGAUUCUCUGGCCUAUUACUGACACUGAGUGUGCGAAAGUUAGGGGAGCAAACGGGAUUAGAUACCCCGGUAGUCCUAACUGUAAACGAUGGGCACUAAGUAGAGGGGUUUU
rnacentral:rRNA from 1 species